UACGUAGGGGGCAAGCGUUGUCCGGAUUUAUUGGGCGUAAAGAGCGCGUAGGCGGCCGUGUAAGUCCGACGUGAAAUCUGGAGGCUCAACCUCCAGCGGUCGUUGGAAACUACCUGGCUAGAGUCCGGAAGAGGAGAGUGGAAUUCCUGGUGUAGCGGUGAAAUGCGCAGAUAUCAGGAAGAACACCGAUGGCGAAAGCAGCUCUCUGGGACGGUACUGACGCUGAGGCGCGAAAGCGUGGGGAGCGAACAGG
rnacentral:rRNA from 1 species